AUCCACGUCAUCAAAUGUUACAAG
rnacentral:miRNA from 1 species